rnacentral:tRNA from 18 species
GCUGGAAUAGCUCAGUUGGUAGAGCAGCUCAUUCGUAAUGAGCAGGUCGCGUGUUCAAGUCACGUUUCCAGCUCCA